rnacentral:rRNA from 1 species
GGGGACCCGCAAGCGGUGGAGCAUGUGGUUUAAUUCGAAGCAACGCGAAGAACCUUACCAGGUCUUGACAUCUCCUGACAAUCCUAGAGAUAGGACGUUCCCCUUCGGGGGACAGGAUGACAGGUGGUGCAUGGUUGUCGUCAGCUCGUGUCGUGAGAUGUUGGGUUAAGUCCCGCAACGAGCGCAACCCUUGAUCUUAGUUGCCAGCAUUUAGUUGGGCACUCUAAGGUGACUGCCGGUGACAAACCGGAGGAAGGUGGGGAUGACGUCAAAUCAUCAUGCCCCUUAUGACCUGGGCUACACACGUGCUACAAUGGAUGGUACAAAGGGCUGCAAAACCGCGAGGUCGAGCGAAUCCCAUAAAACCAUUCUCAGUUCGGAUUGUAGGCUGCAACUCGCCUACAUGAAGCUGGAAUCGCUAGUAAUCGUGGAUCAGCAUGCCACGGUGAAUACGUUCCCGGGUCUUGUACACACC